ACGACCUUACUUGAACAUGAUACGUUCUAUAGCCUCGUGCUUCAUGUAUCUUUGAUUUUUGUGGAGAGAGGCUUUUAACCCUGGUUGAUGAACCAUGAUCGUGCGAUCAAAGCGUGAGCAACGGCCACGAUCGUUCUCGGACGCAUCCGAUGUUGUAGAGGCUUGAUACACGGUUUGAACCACCUUGUUGGGGUGGUCGCACGACGGUCUGACAUGUC
rfam:Capsella rubella cultivar Monte Gargano unplaced genomic scaffold scaffold_3, whole genome shotgun sequence.